ensembl:lncRNA
UUGAAAGAUACCUUGGCGGAGUACUCUUCAUUGUCAUUCAUACAUUGGUUGAGGCCAGAGAUACUAAAGCCAGAAUGAACUAUUCUCAUCUCUGUGGUGCUUGUAGGAAGUGGUGUAGAGCUUCCAUUUGAGCUUAAUUAUCCCUUUAGAAGUCUGUGCAUUUUCAGAGUAUGUCUUUGCUUUGAUUUUGAAAUUAUAGAACACCUGGAGAACAGGAGGAAUCACUUGUGAACCGGAAGUAUGCCUUGAGCUACAAAGGAGUAUGAGGAUAUUCAGAGGAGUAUGCAACAUUGAUCUUGAAGCCUUGCCUUUCUGUAUUGAUGCUUGAGAGAGGGAUUCUUCUGUGCAAGCUCUGUUCAUGUCCUUGGCAUCUGCAAGCUGCAACAUUGCCGAAUUCUACUUCUCACGGAGCUGCGUUAUGAAUAGCUACUACAACCUGGAAAUUUUUGAUGUGAAUUCCAGAUGGUUGCUAAGCCUGAAGCAUUAAGCAUCAUAACCAAAGGCCACAGCCUUAAUGUGUGGAGGAAAGAAAGAAGUGACAGGAAAAACCUAGAAAUGAGGGCUGGAGGGGAAGGAAAGGACUUAGAGAAGUCUUUAUCUCUGACUUGUUAUGGAAUCAGAACCGUACUAAGGCAUUGGAAACAGCAGGAGUGGGAAAACUUCACAAGGUCUAAGAAAAUGGUGGAAACUGUGCUUCCUACUCCUAAUUUUUCUCCGGGUAUCCUGCUUGAAUUAUGCUUCCUGACCUGUUCCACAAGAAAGAUGCUGGAAGGAGGUGAUGAUAAACAGAACCUGUUCUCACGUUUAUAGUUUCAUCAGUUAUGUGUGGUUUUAGCAUAUGCUUCUAGAUUCCUUGACUUGAAAGUCCAUGCUGUUGUAAUUCAGUAGCUGUGUUGUAACACCAUCUGAAGGUAGAUUAACAGUUUUUUGUUUCAGCUAAUUGAGCAUUUUAAAUUUUAAGUACAAUUUUAUAUCAUUAUUUAGGUUGGGGCCUUCUACCUUUGAUAGUUCAGAAUACAUGCAUUUACCCAGUAACCUCUGUGCACUUUCUCUACACACUAUUCUUACGCAAAUAGCAAAUGCUGUUAUUUAAUAAUGUUCAGUGAAUACAACGGUUGGCAUAAUAUGCGUGUAAGCUAGUAAAUGUUGUAAAACUGGAAAAAAAAAAAACCUGCAGCCAUUAUGACUGCAUUUUUGCAUAAUGUUUUUGUCAUUGGGAAAGCUAGUGAGAGACAAAAUUCCUCAAGAUGUAGCAGCUGGCAAGGUCUCCAUGGUUACAUUGGCAAGAAAUGUGGGAAAGUACCAAAAGUAGUUUAUUGCUCAACAGUAAAACAUCAUUGGGGAAUACUCCUUGAAUCAUCUGAGGAAACGUCUUAAAGAAAAGCUUUAAUUAAAAAAGGAGAGAGAGAAGGUCUGUUUAUGGAAAAAUGCUUAAAACUGAAUACAAGUAAUGACAAAGAUGUGUCUGGGACAUCUUUAAUCACAGGUUUGCAACUGAGCAGUGAUCUGACUGCAAUUUUUAGACGAGGUGUUGUUUCUACUUAUUUCAUGGAUUUGUGUGGCCUGACAUGAUCAGGGAAAUAAUCUUGUCUGAACCUGAGCAAAUAGUCACUGGGAUGCUAAUCAUCCAGAUAAGAUUGUUCUUUUAUGUAUCAUGG